rnacentral:lncRNA from 1 species
CACAGAGACCAGAAGGACCCAAUAAGAGACCGAAGACACGACUGAUAAUACAGAAAGGAGGGUGAUGCUGUGUGCAAGGCAGAUACAAGAUGGUUUUUCCAUAAGAGGAAGUGAUCAUGGCAACCAUGACCUUCUCUGACCUUCUCUCUUCCAAGAGGCUGUUGGGAAGGUGGGAUGACCUAGGAUUGACCUUGGACUUGACAUCACAGAAGCCAUUUCAACCUUCACAGGGUUUCCUCAGCAGUGCCCCGGAGCAGGGACCGCGCCAGCCAGCAGAAACAGCUAGUUGUUGUCUGCAGUGAAGAAUAAUUGGAAGCAUGGUGCCUGUUUCUUUUCCUGUGGGAGGAAGUCACAGCAUCUACUUCUGAAUCUGUGCUUGCCUUGAGGAAAAACGGCAUGGCACAGGAAUGUGGACGCUUUCAACCAGAGGAUUCUGUACGACGGUGUCGGCACACAAGGAGUGUUCCACUGACUGACCUCUUUUUGUUUUCAAAUGAAGAGGAGCCAAGAAUAGGACAGCUUGGGAAGGUGAGCUGCGUAUAGCUCGUCAGGCUGAGGUGACAGGUUGCCAAGCUGCCAAGAACUCCUGCCUCUGCUCAUACUGC